rnacentral:rRNA from 1 species
UACAGAGGUCCCAAGCGUUGUUCGGAUUCAUUGGGCGUAAAGGGUGCGUAGGCGGCGCGGUAAGUCGGGUGUGAAAUCUCGGGGCUUAACUCCGAAACUGCAUUCGAUACUGCCGUGCUUGAGGACUGGAGAGGAGACUGGAAUUUACGGUGUAGCGGUGAAAUGCGCAGAUAUCGGGAAGAACACCUAUGGCGAAGGCAGCUCUCUGGGACGGUACUGACGCUGAGACGCGAAAGCGUGGGGAGCAAACGGG